rnacentral:rRNA from 1 species
AGUUGAUAAGUGUCGGCGUAAAGAGUGGUUAGGGGAAACCCCAUCAAACUAAAGCCAAAUGCCCCCAAGGCUGUUAUACGCACCCGGAGGCCAGAAACUCAACAACGAAAGUGGCUUUAUUACUACCUGACCCCACGAAAGCUAUGAUACAAACUGGGAUUAGAUACCCCACUAUGCUUAGCCCUAAACAUUGAUAAUGUCGUACAAUCAUUAUCCGCCCGGGAACUACGAGCACCAGCUUAAAACCCAAAGGACUUGGCGGUGCUUUAGAUCCACCUAGAGGAGCCUGUUCUAGAACCGAUAAUCCCCGUUAAACCUCACCCCUCCUUGUUUUUCCCGCCUAUAUACCGCCGUCGUCAGCUUACCCUGUGAGGGAUCAAUAGUAAGCACAAUUGGUAAAGCCCAAUACGCCAGGUCGAGGUGUAGCGUAUGGAGGGGGAAGAAAUGGGCUACAUUCAGUAUCUUACUGAAUACGGAUGGCGGGCUGAAACGCCCGCCUGAAGGAGGAUUUAGUAGUAAGUGGAAAAUAGAGCGUUCCCCUGAAACCGGCCCUGAAGCGCGUACACACCGCCCGUCACUCUCCCCGAAAAACAGAACUAACGAUACCUAAAACU